UACGUAGGGUGCAAGCGUUAAUCGGAAUUACUGGGCGUAAAGCGUGCGCAGGCGGUUCGCUAAGACAGAUGUUAAAUCCCCGGGCUUAACCUGGGAACUGCAUUUGUGACUGGCGGGCUAGAGUAUGGCAGAGGGGGGUAGAAUUCCACGUGUAGCAGUGAAAUGCGUAGAGAUGUGGAGGAAUACCGAUGGCGAAGGCAGCCCCCUGGGCCAAUACUGACGCUCAUGCACGAAAGCGUGGGGAGCAAACAGG
rnacentral:rRNA from 1 species